rnacentral:rRNA from 1 species
UGAAGCGGCAACAGCUCAAAUUUGAAAUCUGGCCCCCGGGUCCGAGUUGUAAUUUGUAGAGGAUGCUUUUGGCGAGGUGCCUUCCGAGUUCCCUGGAACGGGACGCCAUAGAGGGUGAGAGCCCCGUCUGGUCGGACACCGAGCCUCUGUAAAGCUCCUUCGACGAGUCGAGUAGUUUGGGAAUGCUGCUCAAAAUGGGAGGUAUAUGUCUUCUAAAGCUAAAUAUUGGCCAGAGACCGAUAGCGCACAAGUAGAGUGAUCGAAAGAUGAAAAGCACUUUGAAAAGAGGGUUAAAAAGUACGUGAAAUUGUUGAAAGGGAAGCGCCUAUGACCAGACUUGGGCCCGGUGAAUCAUCCAGCGUUCUCGCUGGUGCACUUUGCCGGGCACAGGCCAGCAUCAGUUUGGCGCGGGGGAGAAAGGCUCUGGGAAUGUGGCUCCUCCGGGAGUGUUAUAGCCCACUGCGUAAUACCCUGCGCCGGACUGAGGUACGCGCAUUGCAAGGAUGCUGGCGUAAUGGUCAUCAGCGACCCGUCUUGAAACACGGACCAAGGAGUCGUCUUCGUAUGCGAGUGUUCGGGUGUCAAACCCCUACGCGUAAUGAAAGUGAACGCAGGUGAGAGCUUCGGCGCAUCAUCGACCGAUCCUGAUGUUCUCGGAUGGAUUUGAGUAAGAGCAUACGGGGCCGGACCCGAAAGAAGGUGAACUAUGCCUGUAUAGGGUGAAGCCAGAGGAAACUCUGGUGGAGGCUCGCAGCGGUUCUGACGUGCGAAUCGAUCGUCAAAUAUGGGCAUGGGGGCGAAAGACUAAUCGAACCUUCUAGUAGCUGGUUUCCGCCGAAGUUUCCCUCAGGAUAGCAGUGUUGAACUCAGUUUUAUGAGGUAAAGCGAAUGAUUAGGGACUCGGGGGCGCUAUAUUGCCUUCAUCCAUUCUCAAACUUUAAAUAUGUAAGAAGCCCUUGUUACUUGAUUGAACGUGGGCAUUCGAAUGUAUCAACACUAGUGGGCCAUUUUUGGUAAGCAGAACUGGCGAUGCGGGAUGAACCGAACGCGAGGUUAAGGUGCCGGAGUGGACGCUCAUCAGACACCACAAAAGGUGUUAGUACAUCUUGACAGCAGGACGGUGGCCAUGGAAGUCGGAAUCCGCUAAGGACUGUGUAACAACUCACCUGCCGAAUGUACUAGCCCUGAAAAUGGAUGGCGCUCAAGCGUCCCACCCAUACCUCGCCCUCAGGGUAGAAACGAAGCCCUGAGGAGUAGGCGGACGUGGAGGUCAGUGACGAAGCC